UACGUAGGUGGCAAGCGUUGUCCGGAUUUAUUGGGUUUAAAGGGUGCGUAGGCGGUCAAAUAAGUCAGUUGUGAAAUAUGGCAGCUUAACUGUCAAGGUGCAAUUGAUACUGUUUGACUUGAGUACUGAUGAGGUAGGCGGAAUGGACGGUGUAGCGGUGAAAUGCUUAGAGAUCGUCCAGAACACCGAUAGCGAAGGCAGCUUACUAAGGAGUAACUGACGCUGAGGCACGAAAGUGUGGGGAUCAAACAGG
rnacentral:rRNA from 1 species